AAGCUGUGUCCGGCCCGGGUAGAUGGAGUCCGCUCUCCAACCCUAAUUUUGUUUGAUCGAAGAGUUGAAGAUCUUCUCAUCUUCUCGUGGGACGGCGACGUCUGGGCUCCUUAUCGCCAUCUGAAACGGUCCGAGCUGUGACACCGUGUUUAAUCCCAUUCAAUGCGUCAUUUAGAUCUGCAGCAAGACGGUGUAUAAUCUAUAUAAAUAUAUGACCCAUAUCUUAGCCGGCACCGACAAACUAUUGAGAUGUAUCUGACAGAAAAUUACACUAUUCGGACUAUGGUAUCAAAACCAUAAAGGUCAAGACUAUUUACUCACCUCUUACUCAUUAGGUGAAAGUGCAUGACUAUAUACCUUUCGUAUGUGAUUGCAGCUUGAUGGUGUGGAUGAGGACGAGCUUUCAAGGCUAUCUCUUUCCUCUUUUGUCGUUCUUGUCAAAAACAGUUGUGGAGUAGGCCUAUUGUGGAGAGAAAGCAUCAACAAUAGCAGAUGCAGACACAAUAGUGAAUGGCUCCACAACAUCAGAAGCAUAAACAGCAUUAGUGGUUGCUAAAAGAGCUGAGUCUGGUGGUCAACAAGGCUCUGUUAUAUAUCUUCUCGCCAACCAUAUUCUUGUCAAGUUUGAUCCUGCACAGAAGAUUUACCAUUACAACGUUGAGAUCUCUCCACAAGCCCUUCAAAGGAAAUCGCUGGGAUGAUCAAACAAAAACUCGUGGAGACUGAGCAUAGUAGUUUAUCUGGUGCUGUCCCUGCUUUUGAUGGUAGGAAAAACAUUUACAGCCCUGUGGAGUUUCAAGAAGAUAGGCUUGAGUUUUUGGCUAACCUCCCUAUCUCAUCCUGCAAUACUUAGAUCAAGUUUGGUGACCUGCGUUAGAAGCUACCUCGGAAGAAGAUUGAUAAACUGUUUAGGGAUAACAUGAGGCUUGUGUCCAAGUUUGAUUGGAAGGAGCAGAGAGAGGAAGUCGAUGGGAAGGAGCAGAGAAAGCAAGUCGAAAUCUGGGCUUCACUUCCUAGAGAAUGCAUUCAUGCUCUUGAGGGAGAAUUCAAUAGAGAAGUGUACAUCGCUUGGAACAUCUUCAUUAUUAAGUACUGUAUAAAUUGGACACCUCAUUAUCAUUUUUUAAGAAAAUUAUAAAUCA